CCCUUUGGGGGGGCCUAUACUGCAGUCGAGCGAACGGACGAGAAGCUUGCUUCUCUGAUGUUAGCGGCGGACGGGUGAGUAACACGUGGAUAACCUACCUAUAAGACUGGGAUAACUUCGGGAAACCGGAGCUAAUACCGGAUAAUAUUUUGAACCGCAUGGUUCAAAAGUGAAAGACGGUCUUGCUGUCACUUAUAGAUGGAUCCGCGCUGCAUUAGCUAGUUGGUAAGGUAACGGCUUACCAAGGCAACGAUGCAUAGCCGACCUGAGAGGGUGAUCGGCCACACUGGAACUGAGACACGGUCCAGACUCCUACGGGAGGCAGCAGUAGGGAAUCUUCCGCAAUGGGCGAAAGCCUGACGGAGCAACGCCGCGUGAGUGAUGAAGGUCUUCGGAUCGUAAAACUCUGUUAUUAGGGAAGAACAUAUGUGUAAGUAACUGUGCACAUCUUGACGGUACCUAAUCAGAAAGGCCACGGCUAACUACGUGCCAGCAGCCGCGGUAAUACGUAGGUGGCAAGCGUUAUCCGGAAUUAUUGGGCGUAAAGCGCGCGUAGGCGGUUUUUUAAGUCUGAUGUGAAAGCCCACGGCUCAACCGUGGAGGGUCAUUGGAAACUGGAAAACUUGAGUGCAGAAGAGGAAAGUGGAAUUCCAUGUGUAGCGGUGAAAUGCGCAGAGAUAUGGAGGAACACCAGUGGCGAAGGCGACUUUCUGGUCUGUAACUGACGCUGAUGUGCGAAAGCGUGGGGAUCAAACAGGAUUAGAUACCCUGGUAGUCCACGCCGUAAACGAUGAGUGCUAAGUGUUAGGGGGUUUCCGCCCCUUAGUGCUGCAGCUAACGCAUUAAGCACUCCGCCUGGGGAGUACGACCGCAAGGUUGAAACUCAAAGGAAUUGACGGGGACCCGCACAAGCGGUGGAGCAUGUGGUUUAAUUCGAAGCAACGCGAAGAACCUUACCAAAUCUUGACAUCCUUUGACAACUCUAGAGAUAGAGCCUUCCCCUUCGGGGGACAAAGUGACAGGUGGUGCAUGGUUGUCGUCAGCUCGUGUCGUGAGAUGUUGGGUUAAGUCCCGCAACGAGCCGCAACCCUUAAGCUUAGUUGCCAUCAUUAAGUUGGGCACUCUAAGUUGACUGCCGGUGACAAACCGGAGGAAGGUGGGGAUGACGUCAAAUCAUCAUGCCCCUUAUGAUUUGGGCUACACACGUGCUACAAUGGACAAUACAAAGGGCAGCGAAACCGCGAGGUCAAGCAAAUCCCAUAAAGUUGUUCUCAGUUCGGAUUGUAGUCUGCAACUCGACUACAUGAAGCUGGAAUCGCUAGUAAUCGUAGAUCAGCAUGCUACGGUGAAUACGUUCCCGGGUCUUGUACACACCGCCCGUCACACCACGAGAGUUUGUAACACCCGAAGCCGGUGGAGUAACCUUGUAGGAGCUAGCCGCCGAACGUGCCCAAAGUU
rnacentral:rRNA from 1 species